rnacentral:rRNA from 1 species
CCUACGGGGGGCUGCAGUAGGGAAUAUUGCUCAAUGGGGGAAACCCUGAAGCAGCAACGCCGCGUGGAGGAUGAAGGUUUUAGGAUUGUAAACUCCUUUUGGUAGAGAAGAGGAUGACGGUAGCUAACGAAUAAGCACCGGCUAACUCCGUGCCAGCAGCCGCGGUAAUACGGAGGGUGCAAGCGUUACUCGGAAUCACUGGGCGUAAAGAGGGCGUAGGCGGGGUAAGAAGACAGAUGUGUAAUCCUGUAGCUUCACUACAGAACUGCAUUUGAAACUGUUACUCUGGAGUGUGGGGGAGGUAGGUUGAAUGCUUGGUGUAGCGGUCAAAUCCUU